UGGGGAAUCUUCCGCAAUGGACGAAAGUCUGACGGAGCAACGCCGCGUGAGUGAAGACGGCCUUCGGGUUGUAAAGCUCUGUUAUCCGGGACGAAAGAGCCUGAGGUGAAUAGCUUAAGGAAGUGACGGUACCGGAAAAGCAAGGCACGGCUAACUACGUGCCAGCCGCCGUGGGAAUUCGCUGGUGGCAAGCGGUGUCUGGCAGUAUUGGUCGUAAAGCGGGCGCAGGCGGCUGCCUAAGUCCAUCUUAAAAGUGCGGGGCUUACCCCCGUGAUGCGUUAGAAACUGGGAAGCUGGAGUAUCGGAGAGGAAAGUGGAAUUCCUAGUGUAGCGGUGAAAUGCGUAGAGAUUAGGAAGAACACCAGUGGCGAAGGCGACUUUCUGGACGAAAACUGACGCUGAGGCGCGAAAGCGUGGGGAGCAAACAGG
rnacentral:rRNA from 1 species